rnacentral:snRNA from 1 species
AAGUUUGACUAGAGUUUCUUUGAAGACAUCAGAGAUAUAGAAAAGAUUAGCAUGGCCCCUGUGCAAGGAUGACACCAAAUGGUCCAAAUUUUU